rnacentral:rRNA from 1 species
UAGGGAAUCUUCCACAAUGGACGCAAGUCUGAUGGAGCAACGCCGCGUGAGUGAAGAAGGUUUCGGAUCGUAAAGCCCUGUUGUUGGUGAAGAAGGAUAGAGGCAGUAACUGGUCUUUAUUUGACGGUAAUCAACCAGAAAGUCACGGCUAACUACGUGCCAGCAGCCGCGGUAAUACGUAGGUGGCAAGCGUUGUCCGGAUUUAUUGGGCGUAAAGCGAGCGCAGGUGGAAUGAUAAGUCUGAUGUGAAAGCCCACGGCUCAACCGUGGAACUGCAUCGGAAACUGUCAUUCUUGAGUGCAGAAGAGGAGAGUGGAACUCCAUGUGUAGCGGUGGAAUGCGUAGAUAUAUGGAAGAACACCAGUGGCGAAGGCGGCUCCCUGGUCUGCAACUGACGCUGAGGCUCGAAAGCAUGGGUAGCGAACAGGAUUAGAUACCCUGGUAGUCCAUGCCGUAAACGAUGAGCGCUAGGUGUUGGGGACUUUCCGGUCCUCAGUGCCGCAGCAAACGCAUUAAGCGCUCCGCCUGGGGAGUACGACCGCAAGGUUGAAAC